rnacentral:rRNA from 1 species
UACGUAGGGGGCAAGCGUUGUCCGGAUUUAUUGGGCGUAAAGCGCGUGUAGGCGGCCAGGUAGGUCCGUUGUGAAAACUCGAGGCUCAACCUCGAGACGUCGACGGAAACCAUCUGGCUAGAGUCCGGAAGAGGAGAGUGGAAUUCCUGGUGUAGCGGUGAAAUGCGCAGGAAUAUCAGGAAGAACACCCGUGGCGAAGGCGGCUCCUCGUGGGA